rnacentral:rRNA from 1 species
UACGGAGGGUGCAAGCGUUAUCCGGAUUCACUGGGUUUAAAGGGUGCGUAGGUGGGCAGGUAAGUCAGUGGUGAAAUCUCUGAGCUUAACUCAGAAACUGCCGUUGAUACUAUCUGUCUUGAAUAUAGUGGAGGUGAGCGGAAUACGUCAUGUAGCGGUGAAAUGCUUAGAUAUGACAUAGAACACCCAUUGCGAAGGCAGCUCGCUACACUAUCAUUGACACUGAGGCACGAAAGCGUGGGGAUCAAACAGG